rnacentral:rRNA from 1 species
UGGAUUAGUGGCGGACGGGUGAGUAACGCGUGAGUAACCUGCCUUAGAGAAGGGGAUAGCCUUUGGAAACGAAGAAUAAUACCCUAUAACACCAACACCUCGCAUGAAGAGUUGGUCAAAGAUUUAUCGCUCUAAGAUGGACUUGCGUCUGAUUAGUUAGUUGGUGAGGUAACGGCCCACCAAGACAGCGAUCAGUAGCCGGCUUGAGAGAGUGUACGGCCACAUUGGGACUGAGACACGGCCCAGACUCC